rfam:Medicago truncatula strain A17 chromosome 5, whole genome shotgun sequence.
UUGCUAUGAUGAUACUACAGAUUAUUGAUGGUUUUCGUAGAAUGCUUUGUGAUACUUUGGCACUCGUGUCGAACCUGAGCGGUUAACUGAGCAA